CGGGAAGAGCUCAAAUUUAUAAUCUGGCACCUUCGGUGUCCGAGUUGUAAUCUCUAGAAAUGUUUUCCGCGUUGGACCGCACACAAGUCUGUUGGAAUACAGCGGCAUAGUGGUGAGACCCCCGUAUAUGGUGCGGACGCCCAGCGCUUUGUGAUACAUUUUCGAAGAGUCGAGUUGUUUGGGAAUGCAGCUCAAAUUGGGUGGUAAAUUCCAUCUAAAGCUAAAUAUUGGCGAGAGACCGAUAGCGAACAAGUACCGUGAGGGAAAGAUGAAAAGCACUUUGGAAAGAGAGUUAACAGUACGUGAAAUUGUUGGAAGGGAAACGCUUGAAGUCAGACUUGCUUGCCGAGCAAUCGGUUUGCAGGCCAGCAUCAGUUUUCCGGGAUGGAUAAUGGUAAAGAGAAGGUAGCAGUUUCGGCUGUGUUAUAGCUCUCUACUGGAUACAUCCUGGGGGACUGAGGAACGCAGUGUG
rnacentral:rRNA from 1 species